rfam:Myotis lucifugus cont2.22449, whole genome shotgun sequence.
GAAACACCCUUAUGAAGCAUGACUUACUUCAGUGGGGCUUUGGUACUCACUGAGUCUGUCCCUUGAGUGUAUCACU